AUACGUAGGGGGCGAGCGUUGUCCGGAAUUACUGGGUGUAAAGGGCGUGUAGGCGGGGAUGCAAGUUACUGGUAAAAACCCGAGGCUCAACCACGGGCUUGCCGGUAAAACUGUAUCUCUUGAGUGUAGGAGAGGGAAGUGGAAUUCCCGGAGUAGCGGUGAAAUGCGUAGAUACCGGGAGGAACACCAGUGGCGAAGGCGGCUUCCUGGCCUACUACUGACGCUGAGGCGCGAAAGCUAGGGGAGCGAACGGGAUUAGAUACCCCGGUAGUCCUAGCCGUAAACGAUGGUCACUAGGUGUGGGUGGUGGUCAAGCCAUCCGUGCCGGAGCUAACGCAAUAAGUGACCCACCUGGGGAGUACGGCCGCAAGGUUGAA
rnacentral:rRNA from 1 species